GGAGAGUUGGCUGAGCGGUUUAAAGCAACAGUCUCGAAAAUUGUAAGUAAUUUAUAUUACUCAGCGGUUCGAAUCCGCUACUCUCCUCCA
rnacentral:tRNA from 1 species